ACCGACGGCCGGAGGAAGCGCUGACCUUCGUGCUACAGUGGCGCGGUGGCAACGUCGACCCGACUGCGCGUUGGCCCCCGCACGCCAUCCCCAGCAUGGCCGAGCCCGCCCACCCGCCCCUCCCUCCCAUCGUCCGACUGCAGCGACGUCCUUGCUGGUGCCUCCGGACCCUCCUCCUAUCCCUGCGGCUGGUCCUUCCCCUCCGACUCGGGCGCGGGUCUAAGCCUCCAGCCCAAGGUGUGCGUGCAGACGAGCACCUGCGCGGGGCUUGAGCAGAUCCUGCGCUGACUCUUCUAUCACAAGGUCGUCGGUGUCGCGCAGUUUCUGCUCUUCGUUGAGGGGAGGGCGGCCGAACCCAAUGUCGUCGGAGUCCUCGAGUUCAUUCCUGUGGGUGACAUUUUAUUCUGAGUGCGUUUCUGUUCUCCAUUCUUGUCCCAGUGCUAAUUUGAGUGCCUUUAUAUUCCUGAUGCUGCAAGUGGGGUAAAAGUGGUGUACAGAACAAAGAAUUUUGAGGAGCAGAAGGCGAGGUGUGUUCUUUUCUGCCACCAACCACAUACUUUUUGAAAUCAGAAAGCACAUGGUUCUUGGUUCAGACAAAAUUAAGUCAGAGCACAUCAAACCAAUGAUGGAUGAUGAAGGAUUAUACCGAUCAGGAAUGUGUAGGACAUGUCCAUGACUAUAGCUGUAUAAGAAAAUCCUAUAUUUUAAACACCAGCAUUGUUAUCAUGUAAUUUAUACCUCUUGUUUCGGGAAGGCUAACAUGACCACUACUCCUUGACAAGUGAAAAUUUGAGCGGAGAACAAUGUCAAUCUUGGCCAUGACAAGAAAUCUAGGUGGCACUUUUCUGCAUGUAUUUUCCAAGAAGCAAGCACAAUUGAAAACGGUGGCCGAAUAAAAAAGGAAGAAGCAAGCACCUACAUGCGCUUACAGUUAGGAGACCUAAUGAAGGAUGAUAGGGCAAUUGAUGGAAUUAUUGGGUUAGGACAGAUUGACUGUCAUUUCUCAACUGAUGAAACGUUUUUUGGAUGUCCCUGAAAGUGUUUUCUCAUUGCCUGGAAGGUUCAGAUUGCGGAAGAUGCAUUCUUGUUCUUGGUGAACUUAUGGAGGCAGGCUUAGUUUACACUGCACUUGUUCCAUCACAGGAAGUUCCUCCCCUGGAAUUGCUUUAUUUGGCUCUAAAACUUCAUAUAUUUGCAUUGCUAUCUUAUGUUUCAGUAGUCCUACUUUAGUGACUGUUGUGAUAACUUUUAGAUGUAACAAUAUACACUUAAUAAAUUGUGACACCUAACAAUAUAGCUUAGUAUAUGAACUGUUGGUUCUUGAUUACAUCUAACAAUUUAUUUGGGUGUAAAACAUUUAGGAACUGUCAUGAACAACCAUUUUCUUGCAUUGAUAAGUUCUGAAGCCUCCUGUUCUUGUACUAUUCCUGAUACAAUAACCUAUUUGCUCAUAUCUAACUUGAAAGUUACCGUCACAGUUAUCUAAUUCUCGCAUUUUGUGCUUCUAUACGUGUUGUUUCAUUCAUAUUGCUGGGCAGGCUGUAGGGUGUGCUUAAGUACUUCGGCAAGCUAGCAGGCCACCUUUUGGAGUGCUGUUUACCUUAGUGAAAGAUGAAGUGCUACUGCGAGUUGCGGUCUAUUGCAAGCCUUAGCUUUCUUAGUUUCCAUGAGUAUCACAAGUGAGUAUUUAUAUCUUAUUUGUAAUAGACUCCAUGUAAUUUUGCUUUGAUUUCUUAAAUGAAUCAGUAGUGCUCCCUGCUUUAGCUUUAGAAAAAACAUUAGUUGGCACAAUAGGCAUAUAUCUAUCAAAUUUUUUUUUCUCA